GAUCAUGGCUCAGGAUGAACGCUGGCGGCGUGCUUAACACAUGCAAGUCGAACGGAGCGCCUUUGAAAGAGGAUUCGUCCAAUUGAUGAGGUUGCUUAGUGGCGGACGGGCGAGUAACGCGUGAGGAAUCUGCCUUGGAGUGGGGAAUAACACAGAGAAAUUUGUGCUAAUACCGCAUAAUGCAAUUGAGUCGCAUGGUUUAAAUAUCAAAGAUUUAUCGCACAGAGAUGGGCUCGCGUCUGAUUAGAUAGUUGGCAGGGUAACGGCCUACCAAGUCGACGAUCAGUAGCCGGACUGAGAGGUUGAACGGCCACAUUGGAACUGAGAUACGGUCCAGACUCCUACGGGAGGCAGCAGUGGGGAAUAUUGGGCAAUGGGCGAAAGCCUGACCCAGCGACGCCGCGUGAAGGAAGAAGGCCUUCGGGUUGUAAACUUCUGUUGUAAGGGGACGAAACAAAUGACGGUACCUUACGAGGAAGCCACGGCUAACUACGUG
rnacentral:rRNA from 1 species